rnacentral:rRNA from 1 species
UCUGGUGGUUUUAGCGAAGGGGUAACACCUGUUCCCAUCCCGAACACAGCAGUUAAGACCUUCAGCGCCGAUGAUACUCGCAAGGGAAAAGUAGGUCAUCGCCAGUU